AGUGAACGCUGGCGGCGUGCUUAACACAUGCAAGUCGAACGAGAACGGAAUAUAGCUUGCUAUAUUUGUCAGCUAAGUGGCGCACGGGUGAGUAAUGUAUAGAUAACCUGCCCUUAAGAAAGGAAUAACAGUUGGAAACGACUGCUAAUGCCCUAUAUGCCUUUAAUACAUAAGUAUGCAAGGGAAACGCUUUAGUGCUUAAGGAUGGGUCUGUAUGGUAUCAGGUUGUUGGUGAGGUAAUGGCUCACCAAGGCUAUGACGCCUAACUGGUUUGGGAUGAUGGCCAGUCACACUCGAAGUCCGACACGGUCCAGACUAAGACGGGAGGCAGCAUUGGGGAAUAUUGCACAGUCGACGAAAGUCUGAUGCAGCAACGCCGCGUGAAGGAUGACACUUUUCGGUCCGUAAACUCCUUUUAUAUAGGAAGAUAAUGACGGUACUAUAUGAAUAAGCACCGGCUAACUCCGUGCCAGCCGCCGCGGUAA
rnacentral:rRNA from 1 species